rnacentral:misc_RNA from 1 species
GCAGUACAAGAUUCACUAGCGGUAUGCACUUCUGCACUUGACUACCUCAUCUUUGCAUACUCAAUUUCUGACAAAUGAUUCCCCCGCAAAGAAAAUAAAAAUAAAAAGCUAACAUUUGCAUAGAUACAUGAUAUAUUCCCUGUUUGCAUAAGUUGCUCAUUAUUGCGCAUCUUUCUUAUUUUUAGUUUCAAUUUCCAUUUUAGGUUUGUCUGGAA